CUAUAGAUACACGCACGACGGCCUAACAGAUAGAACAACAUGUAGGCCUGCUGUUUGGGGCAUCCAGAAUCCAGCCAUCAGUAAUGUGGUUAAGGGAGCAAACCGCAGAACUAAUCAUACCAGACCAACAUAAUGUUUUAUAUCACACUUUUCAUUAGGCCUUACAUUGAGAACAGAGUAAAAAAAUUUGGGGGGGGAGGAGGGACUUGCAAAAAAACCUGUGGAGGGAGCACUGCCCCACUUACCCUCUGGGUAAGCCACCACUCAUCCAUGAACAUCACAGAAAACAAGCCAUGUGUCCAAGCUCGAGAUUUCAUCAUUGCCCCAUUGUUGACAGUACCCUGCUUUCAUGUAACCAGCUGCCCGGUGCCAAGAAAUUAGAAACAAAAUAUAUCUGAAUGAUAUUCAUUAUUAC